ACACUCCAAAUGCAAUGAACAAUCAUUUUGACACACAUCCUUGUUACUAAAAUGGGCAAAUCAAAAAGGCUACCAACCCUGGUGAAACACAUUUAAAAAAGAGGCAGCCAGCCAUGAAACUGCCACAAAAUCGAGUCCACAGACAGUGAUAUGGUGCAUGGUGACCCUUUGACCUUUCAACCAGCCCACAUCACAUCAAACCACACAAGCUGAAUGCCAACAUAAUGUACAUUUCCAAGGACUUUUGUGGACACAUCCGCGCUCUAAUGGCAAACACAGCGGGACAGCAGUCAGGACAGCAGUCCUGACAACUGAGGGAUCCAGACUGACAGAGCCCGAGGAUCCGGCCACUCUCAUUAUCCAUCUGCCUCAAUUCGCCCCUCCAUGAAACACUCUUUUACAAGCGGAAAGGAAAUAAGAGAUGGAAUCUAUUGGAGGCAAAUAUGGGAUUUUCUCUAACUCUUUGAAAGUGAAAUCAAUCCUGUUUCACAAGUAAUAUGGGACGUCUUUGCAUUAACCCACUAAUAGGGAACAUUUUCUGCAUUAUCAGUCUGACUGUGCUAUGUGAAAAUUUAGUAAAGGGUCUUUUAUUCGUCACUUUUCUAGUUUUCCAACUAUAUAAAGCACUGUAACCUACAUGUAAACAUUCAGCCAUUCACACACUGAGAACUGUGCCUUCAAAGAGCAAAAAAUGAUUAGUGGACUCUUACCGCUUUACCUCCUGAGCCACCCAGUUGGAGUGGUCAUUUCAGAGAGAUUUAAAUUCCCACUAACUCCCUUUUUGUCCAUAGCUAGCUACAUCAUUACGCAUAAAAAGGCAAAUCCGGCUAAAUAUUCACCAACACCGCAUUUGUUUCUUUUACAACUAGAUUAUCUAUCAAAAAAUUUGUGUCAGCAGCGGUGAUACUGUCAGCAUUGCAUUCAGCCUCAGUGUACAACAUGUCUGCUGAUUAGCAACUCUUAGCAUGUGAAGAAGCUAAUCCAUGUUGGUGAAUGAUAAGCGUUGCAGCCUAAAUGCUAACAAAAGCAUGUUAGAAUUAUCACUGUGAGCACAGUGGAAUGAAAUCUUUAAAUCUUGUUUAAUCAAAUGUGAAUUCAUGUGACUCUUUGCUACGUCCAGUACCCUCGUAUACAGGCCGGCCAAUCAUAGCGUAGCAUCGUCCAGCUUCGAACUAGGUCCUCUAACUAUGUGGUUCUGCUCCAUAGACUCGUACAGUCGUUAAAGUCUUCUUCAUGUUCAGUCCGGUUUUAUUGACGUAGAGGUGAAUGCAGACCGACCUGGCUAUACAGGAACAGAGUUGUUCCUUCCGUUUGUUUUCAGUCUCCAUCAACUGCUGGUGGUUCACUUUUGAUCCGUAAAAUCUUUUUCUUCAAAUCAGUUUGACAUCUUGGAUGCAACCUUAAAAUGUAUCUCUAACGUUUGAUAACAUUUCUUUAGGGAGUGGAGUUUGUGACAGCGUGGGGUGUUUUUUCAUAUGAUAUAAAAAUACACUAUUCUUCAGUGAAUGAAACAUUGUGCAUAGAACAAUAAUCUAGUUAUUUAUACCUGUGUUAGUGUCAACUUUGUCAGAUUCCGGGCAUUCAAGGCAUUGUUUCCAUGCAUCAUUAUACAGGCUGGCUGAGGCAUAUUUAUCUAUUUAAGCUCAUGUACGGAGAAAUAAAAAGAUCUAAAGGCACACAGCCAAAAAAUCAUGUGUAACU
ensembl:lncRNA